UAGGAUUCCCUCAGUAGCUGCGAGCGAACAGGGAAGAGCCCAGCACCGAAUCCCGCGGCCGACACCGGGCGCCGGGAAAUGUGGUGUUAGGGAGGGUCCGUUUAUCCCGAGAUCGUGCGGCCAGUCCAAGUCCUUCUUGAACGGGGCCACAGUCCACAGAGGGUGCCAGGCCCGUAGAGACGGCCGCCGAUCGCGGGAGGAUCUCUCCUCAGAGUCGGGUUGCUUGAGAGUGCAGCCCUAAGUGGGUGGUAAACUCCAUCUAAGGCUAAAUAUGACCACGAGACCGAUAGCGAACAAGUACCGUGAGGGAAAGUUGAAAAGCACUUUGAAGAGAGAGUUCAAGAGUACGUGAAACCGUUCAGGGGUAAACCUGAGAAACCCGAAAGGUCGAAAGGGGAAAUUCAUUCGCGUCUCGCCACCGGCGUUUGACGGUCGUGUGACGGACGGCGUUCGCGUCGUCCGCUCCUUCCGUUUCACGAACCGGCGUCGAACGCGUGCACUUUUCCCCCUGUAGGACGUCGCGAUCCGUUGGGCGUCGGUCUAAGGCUCGAGGUGGAGCCCGUGCGUUCGGCUUGCCGUUACGUGCGGACCCUCGAAGUCCCGGCCGACUCGCUCGACGGUAUACAGAAGGCGCGGGGCCGCCACUCAGUUGGCGUUCGAACCGCGGCAAGCGCGCGGGGUGUGUCGGACAUCGGACCUGGUGCCGGUCCCGACCCCCCGCGACUGUUGGCCGCCGGAGCUCUCGAACAGACCUCGUCGAAACGCCGAUCUGCGACGCUAUAGCUUUGGGUACUUUCAGGACCCGUCUUGAAACACGGACCAAGGAGUCUAGCAUGUGCGCGAGUCAUUGGGACACGACUAAACCUAAAGGCGCAAUGAAAGUGAAGGUCCGCCUUGCGCGGACCGAGGGAGGAUGGGCGGUUCGCCUAUGGUGGCCGCUCCGCACUCCCGGGGCGUCUCGUUCUCAUUGCGAGAAGAGGCGCACCAAGAGCGUACACGCUGGGACCCGAAAGAUGGUGAACUAUGCCUGGUCAGGAUGAAGUCAGGGGAAACCCUGAUGGAGGUCCGUAGCGAUUCUGACGUGCAAAUCGAUCGUCGGAACUGGGUAUAGGGGCGAAAGACUAAUCGAACCAUCUAGUAGCUGGUUCCCUCCGAAGUUUCCCUCAGGAUAGCUGGCGCUCGUUGCGUACGAGUCUCAUCCGGUAAAGCGAAUGAUUAGAGGCAUUGGGGUCGAAACGACCUCAACCUAUUCUCAAACUUUAAAUGGGUGAGAUCUCCGGCUUGCUCGAACUCAUGAAGCCGCGAGAUUCGAUCAGAG
rnacentral:rRNA from 1 species